AGCAAAACAACAACAAAAUUAAACAGCAACGGGUACUUGAUUUAAUUGAUAAAAUAAAUGCAUUCAUUUUUUUUUGUUGUUUAAGUUUAAAUUUGUCAAAAUACUGUAAAAAACAUAAUUUCUAUUAACUCAUUAAGUCCUAUAUAAAUAAAUCGAUUGUUGUUUACAUUUAAAUUUGUUGAAAAACUAUAAGAAAAUAAUUUUUAUAAAUUCAUUAAACCUAACUUAAAUAAUCCUUCUUGAAUCAAUCCAAAAAAAUUCAUAUAUAAAGAAAACCCCAAAAAUCAGAAGCUUUGUGUUCUUAAACUGGGUUUCUCUGGGAUUACAAAAGAGUUUAGGGUUUGUUGGGUUCUGGAACUGAAUCUAAUUUUUAGUAUUUAUGGAUUUGUUUAACACUUUAAUUUCUGGGUUAUUGGUUUGUUAAUUUGAUUUUUUUAACUGGGUUUUGAUCUUUAGUUUUGCUUCUAAUCUGUUGGAGUCUGGUUUUGCUGAAUUUAUUUGUUUUUUGGAAAUUUCUAACCAAUCUAGGUUUAUUGGGUUCAGUUGAAUUUCAAGAUAAGAUUUUGAAGUUUUCAAUUAUCAGCCGAUAGUGGUUGGCAACGAUGUGCUGUUGCAGCGUGGCGAAGUUCAACCAAAAUCGGAGAGGCACGAUUGCUGUUCUUAAUUUUUUUAGAGAGAAGUUAAAGGAAAUUAUCCUAGAUAAAGAGAGG
rnacentral:lncRNA from 1 species